UCGGGAAUCUUCCGCAAUGGGCGAAAGCCUGACGGAGCGACGCCGCGUGAGCGAUGAAGGCCUUCGGGUUGUAAAGCUCUGUGGGGAGAGAAGAAUAAGUUCAGGCGAAUACCCUGAAUGAUGACGGUAUCUCCUUAGCAAGCACCGGCUAACUCUGUGCCAGCAGCCGCGGUAAGACAGAGGGUGCAAACGUUGUUCGGAUUUACUGGGCGUAAAGCGUGUGUAGGCGGCUUCGUAAGUUGGAUGUGAAAUCCCACGGCUCAACCGUGGACGUGCAUCCAAAACUACGUCGCUGGAGUCUCGGAGAGGAAGGUGGAAUGCUUGGUGUAGAGGUGAAAUUCGUAGAUAUCAAGCAGAACACCUGCGGCGAAGGCGGCCUUCUGGACGAUGACUGACGCUGAGACACGAAAGCGUGGGGAGCAAA
rnacentral:rRNA from 1 species